UGCAAAUGAUGUCUAUACUCACGAUGGUCUGCCUAGCUACUCUGAGGACACUGCCUUAAGGCAAUACUGAUGCAACUCA
ensembl:snoRNA small nucleolar RNA SNORD35